AAGAAAAGACCUGGGGGAAAGUCUGAAUGUAGAACCUGAAGCUGCUGCCUCUUCUCUAGCCUGUCUAUCAGAGAUGACACCAUAGGACUUGUCAUUUAUUUCUUUUGUUAUCACAGCUUUUUCAAGGAGCACUUUACAAAUAUGCAAAGGCAAAGCAGAGUGAGAGACCACCCUUUGCUUAAAGCAAGAUGGAUUUCUGCUCUUAUUUGGGGCAGAGUCCAUCCUUUGGAGGAGGUGUAGAAAAUCUUCAGGGUCAGAAAAAAUCAGAAUAAAGAUUAAAACACAGGUCUGGUAUCAUCCCAGCAGCAUGCAGCAUGAAAGGAUUCCUGAAACAUGGCUCUUUGCCUAAUGCUGUUUCUGUACUAUACGUAUUUUAAUGACAUUAUAAGAAAGCUCGAGAUAAGAAACAGAUUUAUCUUUCUUUUGAUCAAAACCUAAUUCUAAAUGUAUGUAGAUAAGCUAACA